rnacentral:tRNA from 1 species
GCAUUCGUAGCUCAGCGGAUAGAGCACCGGCAUUCCUAGCCGGAGGGCGCAGGUUCGAUCCCUGCCGAAUGCA